rnacentral:lncRNA from 1 species
CUGAACCCAGGGGUGCUUUGUCCCCAGCCCCUCUUAUUUUUUAUCUUGAGACAGGAUCUCGCUAAGUUGCUGAGGCUGGCCUCAAACUUGAGAUCCUCCCGCCUCAGCCUCCUGAGUAGCUGCCGCUACUGUACCCCAGAAGAGAGGACUUCUUAUUGCCUGUUCUCUGUCCUCAAAUCCAGGUGACAGGCUGGGGUUGUGGCUCAGUGGUAGAGCACUUGCCUCAAAUGUGCAAGACCCUGGGUUCGAUCCUCAGCACCACAUAAAAAUAAAUGAAUAAAGGUAUUGUGUCCUUGGGGUCAGGGGUGUGUCUCAGCGGUAAAGCACUCACCUAGCAUGCGUGAGGCCCCGGGUUUGAUGCCCAGUAUGGCCAAAACAAAAACCAGGGGCCUUUGUUAUAAUGCAUAGAGUGGUUGAGGAACUGUGUCAUGGUCACACAGCAAGGGGGAGCAGGUGCUAGAAUUAGAACCAUGAUCUGUGUCAACCUGUACAUGUACAACCCCCAACAGUGGGUGGCAUGGCCACCUUAUACAGACAAGGAAACUCGGGCCCCACCAGUGGAAGCCCCCUGUCUUCUUGCCACAGCUGUGGAGAAGAGGGGUCUGGGGCAUGAGCCAGGCCAGACUCUCCAGAGCUGAGCAGUUUGCAGAACACAACAGGAUCUUUCCUCGCUCAUGUCUGACCUUGGCCGGGAUGAAGACCCGCCCACCUCAGCUCCAUGGCUGUCUCAAGAAUCACCGUGUGGUGGGGCUUUAGUAGUCAGGAAAGCAUUUGGGGGAACAUGAGGCCCAUGGGAGAGGGAAGCCUUGGAGCCACUGAGAACCCAGAGUCUUUUUUGUUUGCUUAUUUUUUGAGAUGGGGUUAUGUUGCCCAGACCGGCCUUGAACUCCUGGGCUCAAGUGAGCCUCCUGCCUCAGCCUCCCAAGUAGUUGGGACUGUAGGUGGUGCCACCACUGCGCUGGCCUGGGCCACACCUUGGAAAGCUCUCUCCACCGUCCAGGAGCAUCAUGCUGAGAACCAAACCUUUAACACAGGGCUCUUUGGGGACCCUUAAGACCCAAACCACAGGGGCUCAGCGACAGCACGUGUGUACGCGUGAAGCCCCGGAUCCAUCCCCAGCACCACAAAAAAGGAAGAAAGAAACUAUAGCAAAAAAGCAGGAUGACUUGCAGGAGCGCUCACCCAGGGACCGGUCACAAGGACAGCGUCCUUUACAGAUGCCAGUGUCCUGUACGAAAGGGCAGAACCUGGGGCGCACGCAUGCCAGGCGAGCGCGCUACAGCUUGAGCCAAAUCCCCAGCCCCCGAAAGGGCAGCUUUUCCAAGCUACUCUUGUUUUGCAGUUUCUCAGACAGGCCUAGGGGUGGCCCAGGCCAGUGCAGUGGUGGCACCACCCAUAGGAGGGUCACUUGAGCCCAGGAGUUCAAGGCCAGUCUGGGCCACUUAGCAAGACCCCAUCUCAAACACUGAGGUGUGUCUGGGUGGCACACGAGGUGCUCUAGGGGUAAGAGAGACUCCCCAACAUCCUUGAAAAUUCACUG